rnacentral:rRNA from 1 species
AGUGAACGCUGGCGGUAGGCCUAACACAUGCAAGUCGAACGGCAGCACAGUAAGAGCUUGCUCUUACGGGUGGCGAGUGGCGGACGGGUGAGGAAUACAUCGGAAUCUACUUUUUCGUGGGGGAUAACGUAGGGAAACUUACGCUAAUACCGCAUACGACCUACGGGUGAAAGCAGGGGAUCUUCGGACCUUGCGCGAUUGAAUGAGCCGAUGUCGGAUUAGCUAGUUGGCGGGGUAAAGGCCCACCAAGGCGACGAUCCGUAGCUGGUCUGAGAGGGUGAUCAGCCACACUGGAACUGAGACACGGUCCAGACUCCUACGGGAGGCAGCAGUGGGGAAUAUUAGACAAUGGGCGCAAGCCUGAUCCAGCCAUACCGCGUGGGUGAAGAAGGCCUUCGGGUUGUAAAGCCCUUUUGUUGGGAAAGAAAAGCAGCAGGUUAAUACCCCGCUGUUCUGACGGUACCCAAAGAAUAAGCACCGGCUAACUUCGUG